rnacentral:piRNA from 1 species
UCAUUAUUGAUACUUGGGUUCUGGGCCUU